GCCAACGGGAACACAAGCUUGCAGAGGUACAUCAUCAACAAUAGGAAUUCAAUUGGUAGCAAUGGGUAGGCCCAAGUGGCGUCGGCCGACCCCGCCUUGGAGCCCUGGACCCACCAAUCAGCAUCCACUCAACAACUACCUACCUCCUGGUUUGCGACUCCUACUCCCCCUCUAUUCUUUCAUUUUUAUUACUUCUGUCUCUUGUUUGCUUUAUUAGAUAAAAUAAAACAAAAAUAAAAACAAGAAGACUUGGAUCUAUGAUUUAUGACAUUAAAAGUGUGACAUGAUUCAUGACAUUGAAAGGGUAAAAGUGUCACAAAGUCUAAUUCUUGCAUAUGCAUAUACUUGUGGGUCACACAACUUGAUAGGAAUAUCAGAUUGACUUGGUUGUUGACAAAUUGUGAUAUAGUUCUUAGCUCAAGAUUCAUACCCUUUCUAUUCAAAGUGCUUAGAGAUUUAUUUUUGAAAAUAUCAUAAAACCAUAGUGUCACUUACUCCUCAAUAGUAAGAGAAUUCCUACCACAGCCAUAUAUGUUCAAAACCCUUCUAUACAUGCUACUUAUACUUGUGUUGAGUUUAGUCAAACCUUGUGACCCUAGUUAAGAAUUAUGCCAUAGCCCCAAGAUCAAGGUCACACACACACCACAUAUAUAUGCUGCUUCUACAUUGGAAGUAUGCAAAAACAUGCCAUCUAUUUCCACCAUAUAGAUGCUCCAUGUUUUAAGGUUUAGAAUAUCUCUCUCUAAGUAUUGGUUAUGAGAUGAGACACAAAGGCUAUGCUUAGUAAAAAAAAGUGGGCACAUGAAGGUCCAUUGCUUUUGAAAAAAGAGAAAAAAAUAAAAAAACUAGCCAUGCCACAAAUAAAAUAGAGAGAGAGAUCUUAUCAAAUAUAGGAGCAUUCUAUUCUAAUCAUUUUUCACACACUUACACAUCUUGAUCUAGGAUUAUAACACUUACACAAUGCAAGUAUGCUAUCUUGUUUCACCCUACCUGAGCCCCAUAAGCCUCAUAGAUGUAGGAUGAAACAAAAGAAGGCAAUCUUAUGCUAUGCCUUGGUGAGAAAUCCUAUACUUACUGAGUGACUUGAGAGUACUAUUGGAGGAGUAAGGAUGAACUAUGUGCUUUCUUUUAAAAUAUUUAUCAAAAACUCUAAGUACAAAGAAUAUGAAAAUGGGAAGAUGACUUUGCUUUGAGAACUGUUCCAUUCUUCAACAUCCUAAGGAUAUAUGUUAGACAGUGUCACAUAACCCACUUGUAUAAGAUAUGUCUUGAGUAGUCUUUGUGUUUUCUUAUAUCUUAAAAGUGUCAUAAUCAUAGGUUAUCUUUCUCUAACCUUUGCUCGAGGAUGAUCAAAGACUUAAGUGUGGGGGUUCUUGUUGAUGGGAAAUAAGACUGAGUUCUAUAUACUCAAAAGCCCAUCAACAGUCCUUGAUUGAAGGAAGAUAAGCAUCACAUGAACAUAUUUAUCACUAAUAAAUUUCCACUUGUAGUCUUAGCUUGUUCAAUGCAGGGAAGAAGGAAAUGAGCCCUAUGGGCCCCAUAACCUCAGUCGGCCGACCAUGGUUUGGGCCGACCAGGGGCUCCCUCCAUGGCAUACUUCAAGGAGAAAAUCCCAACCCUUGGAUCCAAGUGUGCUUGCCCUCAACGUUUCAAACACUUAGCACAUGGAUCCUUGGGCUUGUUGGGCAUUCUUACCGUCACUACCAAAAGUAGACUUAGUUUUAACGGCGCCAAAAAUGCCAAACCUAUCCCUCAUGCCACUUAAGCCAAGUUGUCAUCCCCAGCAUGACAUGAGAGACUCGGUAUUGAAAUAUGCAAUUGCUCUUCAGAAUAAAUAAUAAAUAAGAUCUACAAGCGCAC
rnacentral:lncRNA from 1 species